UGGGAUGUAGCUCACUGGUAGAGUGCUUGCCUAGCAUGCAGGAAACCCUAGGUUUAAUCCCGCAUCACAA
rnacentral:tRNA from 1 species